GUAAGUCAGCUCCCUUGAUGAGUUCAACUCUUGAGGCUCCCUGGUCCGUUGACUUCUGCCACCAGCAACCUCUUAGUUCUCCUUCAAAGUUUCCUAGCAAUCCAAUUCAGCCUCCUUUUCAGGACGCUCUUUCUCUUCUCUCCUCUGGAUUGACGGUGUUCACCCUGAAAUUCUCUCUCUACUUCUUUCCCAUAUUGAACUCAAUCCCAGGAAGAGAUGGGCAAAGGCUUAGAAUUUAAUCUUAUGGAUCUGCAAUGAUUAGCUUGCCAAUGUUGGCCAAUGUACUUCACCACUUUCAAUUGGUUUCCUUACCAAUAAAACACAGAUAAUAAUAUCUUCUCAGUUUAUGUCAGUUGACUGCUUCAAAAAAUCACAUGAGAUGAUAAAAGGGAGAGUGUUUUGAAGACUGUAAAGACUUUAAACAGUAUUGUAUUUAACCAUGAAGACUCUGAAGUUAUACUUCCUGGGUUCAAAUUCCAUCUUCACCAAUAUGACUUGCUCUUUGACCUUGGGAGGGAAAACCUUGGAUGCACACAUAAAAGGCAGACCAUGAAGACACAGGAGAAGAUGGCCAUCUAUUAGCCAGAACAGUGAGGCCUUCACAGGAAAUCAACCCUGACAACAUCUUCAUCUUGGACUUUCAGGCUCCAGAACUGUGAGGACAUAAACUUCUGCCAUUGAAGCUACACAGUCUGUGUACUUUGUUAUGGCAGCCCUAGUGUACACGGUGUAUUCUUGCUGCCUCUGUUACAUUC
ensembl:lncRNA